rnacentral:sRNA from 1 species
GGCUUCUGAAAUGUUUGUCCUGAUAGCGAUGUUCCUGCGCAGACAGCUGUGAACAUUUGCUUUCCGCACUUGCAGUCUGCCGCUUUGGGUUCUAUGGCUUUGCAGAUCUGUUUUCUGGUGAAGAGAGUUUGUUGUAGUAAACACCACGGCCAGCCCCUGAGAGGCAAGAUUAAACCCAGAAUGUAGUCUCAAUUGAUCGGUGUACAAGGAAAGUUCACGUCAACCCACUCAUGGGCAGGAAGUUGCUGACUUUUCUCCUUCUGUCCCAAACGGGGUGAACGUUAACUCAGUGAUCGGCGGCUGGCAAGCAUGGGUGAUGCUUUCACGAAGACGUCUGACUGAGCUAAACUUAGUGCCAUGUAAUCACGACUGCAUGCUGCCCAAUAUAAUCCAUCUUGUAAGGAGGGGAUGGGGAUUUUCAGACAGAUUUUUUAGCAGCAUCAUCAAGAAGAGUUUGCAAUCAGCUCUCAAUCAUGCCUCCUCGGGGAGAGGAACUGAGUGUGGUUCUCGUAGAUGACAUACAACUCCCCAAUCCUCUCCAUUUGAUUUUGAUUAAUGUCCGCGUCUCGCUGGAAGGCAGGUGUUCCUAGAGCUCUGGGAGUUCAGCUCAUUUCAGCCUCGGCGCUGAAGGCACAAACAGGGCUGAAACCAUCUCCAGAGGCUUGGAAAGUUGAACAGUUUCCUCCAGAGGGAGAGGGAAGGAAUCCUUCCCAGCUGUCCUUGCGGUGACAAAGAGUGCAUUAACUGUCACAGUUGCAUGAGGCAACACUCCACCAAUGGAGCAGAAUGGCUUUCACCUCUCUUCUCCAAAAGAUUAAGCAUUCUGCUUUAGACGAACCCAGACAACAGAGAGGAUGAGAUGUGGGGAUUCGAGGAUCUUUUCUUUGAGGUGACAUUGAAAGGAUUUAAGCUUUUAAAGAAAAACCAUAGAAGGUCUCUUAUGCCAACAGUUCAUAUAUGUGGACAAUGCAUUUUGAACAUACACAUCCUGCUGUACCUUUCUUUUCCUCCCCAGGCACCCCAAUGCAUCUGCACCCUCCUGUGGCCUUUCUUUCUUUGUUAAUAACCCACUGUGUUCAAUUAGUGCUACCUGUCCGAAUGUUGGCUGACCUUGUUGAUGUCACCAUAUGCAGCUACUCAUAGCUGUGGUGAGUUCAUGGGUGCCCUGCUCCAGUUGUGUCCUAAAGAGAGUGUUUCCCAGCACCCCGCCCGUCCUUGUAGCUUUUCUAAUGUCUCUUUUGAAAAGUUCCUGAUCCUUUAAAACGGACCAGCUUUUGAAUCAGGUCAAAAUCAGUGCUUUGGAGAUGCUAUCUCAGGUGUUUCCUUGGUAUACGUCUGAGAGGGUACUGGCAGUCAUCGAGGCAGUGUCCCAACAGAAUGACUGAGUACAUGGCCCAGUGAAGAACACUUUGCUAUCACACACUCAAGGCCCUGAGCUGGGUCCUUAACAACACAAAGUAAAUUGCUUCCUGGGUAGAUAAUGUGAAGUGAUGCUUGCUUGGUUGUUCUACGUGAUAAUGGAGAAGUGGAGUGGGUGCUCUACAUAUGGUAUUGUGCUCACAGGAAGACCCAUCGACAGGGAUGAGAUGGCUCAGUCAGUGAAGUGCAUGGUGGAGAAGCGUGAGGACCUGGGUUCAGCUCCCUACCACACACAGAAAAUGCGGGUGUGGUGCUGCCUGUGACUAGAGCUGGGUAGAGAGGAACACACACUGACUGGGCCCUUUGAGAUCCAUGGCCAGCUAU